GCCGUCGAUUUCCUUGAAGCGCUCCUACAGACGCAGCACCAACAAAAGUGCCUCUGAUUGUUUGGGCCUCAAUAUCUCACAGCAAUCACAAUUCACACCUUCAGAGAAGCCACUCCCACAACAACUGGCCAAUAAAUACAGUGAAUAUUUCCAUCAUCCUACAAGAGAAGUGCUUCAGACCAGCAGGAAGAACUCCAGAUGAAACAACUGAUAUCUGUGUGAUGUUCUUGUGAAGAAGGAGAAAGAAGACAUGAGUUAUCCAGAGCCAUACCAAAUAAAUAUAGAGGAUCAUAAAGAUACUGAGGAACAAAUAGACCUGAUGGAAUUGAAAGAGAAAAGUCAAGAGGAGGGACAUCAGUAUCAGAAACCUAAGUUCAUAACUGGAGAAGAAUGUAUCAGUCGUUCAUGGACUAAAAAUAAUUUGUCACAAAACGGAACUCAAAGAACAAGAGUAAAAACUUCUGUCACCUGCCAUGAGUGUGGAAAGUGAAUUGCAGAUAAAUCAGACUUUAAAAGACACCUGGCAAUUCAUACUGGAGAGAAGCCGUUCACCUGCAUUGAGUGUGGGAAGUGUUUCACCAUUAAGAAAAGCCUUCAGCUUCACACAAGAGUUCACACUGGAGAAAGGCCUUACACAUGCCAUCAGUGUGGAAAGAGUUUCACAUAUAAAUCACACCUUAACAGACACAUGAGAAUUCACACUGGAGCGAAGCCUUACACAUGUCAAAAGUUUCAUAAAUAAAGAAAUUCUCAAUGAUCAUCUGCGCCGACACUCUGGUGAGAAGCCUUUUAACUGCGAUCAGUGUGGUAAAAAGUUUACGACUGCAUUAUGUCUAAAAAAUCACCUGAAUGUUCAUGCAAAUGAGAAACCUCACUUGUGUUCUUUGUGUGGAAAGAGUUUUUCACAACCGUUCUAUCUUAAAGACCACCAGAGCAUUUGAAACAGCACCUGUUGAUUCAUACUGGAGAAAAACCUCACAAGUGCUCAUAUUGUGACAAAAGCUUUACUCUAUCGGGACUAUUUAAAUCACAUGUAAGAGUGCAUACUGGAGAGAAACCGUACCACUGCCCCCCAUGUGGGAAAAGUUUCAGCCAGCUGAGUUCCCUAAAGGUUCAUAUGAAAAAAUACUGUCCAAAGAUGUCUAAAUAGGCAAAGUUUAUCUUCAGAUUCAAUGCUUUCAAGUAAGAUAUCAUCUGAGAAUUUAAUUAGCUAAAUUUACCUCAAGUACUCGUGUGUGUGCUUUUCAUCUAGGUGAGGUUCAGAAGAACAGUGUACUAUUGUGACAUACCAAACAUUUUGUAGAGAUGUUUUUGUUUUAUGUUGGGGAGUAGUGGGAUAGAAGUGAUUACAUUAAAGGUAUAGUUCACUCAAAAAUGAAAAUUCUCCCAUUAUUUACUCACCCUCAUGCCAUCCCAGAUGUAUAUGACUAUCUUUCUUCUGCAGAACACAAACAAAUGUGUUUGGAGUUUUACCUUUUCUUUAGAUGUGAAUUCUUUCUGCCUUCUGUUCUUCGAGGUUUCCUUUGGUACAACUUCUUCCACCAGGUCUAAAAUUAACAGGUUAAUCAAAUAUUAUUUAUUAUACAAAGUUAUAUUUUUAUUUAUGUAUGCAUUUUAAUUUAUCGGUCUCAGAUGAUUCCAUUAUCAUGUAUUAUUUUGUUCUAUGACAGCACCUAUGAUUUUUUUAAACUACUGCCACCAAAUCUGGUGAAAAGUUUUGUUACAUUAAUGUUAAACGAAAAUGUUAUAAAUGUACAGUAUAUAUAAAUGAAUGCUGUUGCAAGAUUCAUUUCAGAGUGUAGAAUCCUCCACACUCUGUAGGAAAGGGAACUUAAUAUCUGACACCAAUUGUGAAGCAAUAAUUCAACAAAUCAACAAAACAACCAACUUAUCGUUACGUGACCCAGGAUUUAGCACUUACAUUUUAUUGUGGGUGUAUAUUUAUCGUUUAUCAUUUCCCAUCAUCUAAUUUAGGUAUACACUGUAAAAUUUAUUUUGACAUUUAGUUGUAUCAAUUAGCUUUUUUGAGUUGACAACUAAAAUUUCAUGCCAACUUGUAACGCUUUGAUUCUAUCAACUUGUACUUCAACUGGAUUAACCAUCUUAUUUUGCAUUUUAACUCACUUAACAAAGUUGACUGAAAAAGCAAAGAUUUGCCAACUACAUUGUGACAAGGCUUUCUGUAUAUCAGGAAACUUGACCGUGCAUGAGAGUGUUCAUACUGGAGAGAAACUGUACCCCUGCCCUCAGUGUGGGAAGAGUUUCAGACAUUCCUCUGCUCUAAAGGUUCAUAUGAAAAAUCAUUGCCCAGUUUUCACAGUGAUUAUUGUCAGGUCCAAAUUACACAUUGCCUCCCUUUUGCCUUUUUUUUUUUUUUUUUUUUUGGAUGGAAGCAACUGAUGUUGCUGCAUUUGAAUAGUCCUAUUUCCACCAAACAGAAGUUGAUUUAGCUAAAAUUACCUGAAAAUAUAGUGAGAAUAUGACUGAAAAAGUAAUAUAGUAUAUAUGGGAUCCCUCAUCAUGAACAAUAUAUAUAU